rfam:Felis catus isolate Cinnamon breed Abyssinian chromosome A2, whole genome shotgun sequence.
GCCUGGGUGGCUCAGUCGGUUGAGCGUCCGACUUCAGCUCAGGUCAUGAUCUCAUAGUUUGUGGGUUCAAGCCCCGCAUCAGACU